rnacentral:rRNA from 1 species
ACGGCUCAGUAACACGUGGUCAACAUACCCAGAGGACGUGGAUAACCUCGGGAAACUGAGGAUAAACCGCGAUAGACCAUAAUGUCUGGAAUGAUUUAUGGUUCAAAUCUAUAUGGCCUCUGGAUUGGACUGCGGCCGAUCAGGCUGUUGGUGAGGUAAUGGCCCACCAAACCUGAAACCGGUACGGGCUCUGAGAGGAGAAGCCCGGAGAUGGGCACUGAGACAAGGGCCCAGGCCCUAUGGGGCGCAGCAGGCGCGAAACCUUUGCAAUAGGCGAAAGCCUGACAAGGUUACUCUGAGUGAUCUCCGCUAAGGAAAUCUUUUGACACCUCUAAAAAUGGUGUAGAAUAAGGGGUGGGCAAGCCUGGUGUCAGCCGCCGCGGUAAUACCAGCACCCCGAGUGGUCGGGACGAUUAUUGGGCCUAAAGCAUCCGUAGCCGGUUCUUUAAGUCCUCCGUUAAAUCCACCUGCUUAACAGAUGGGCUGCGGAGGAUACUAUAGAGCUAGGAGGCGGGAGAGGCAAGCGGUACUCAGUGGGUAGGGGUAAAAUCCGUUGAUCCAUUGAAGACCACCAGUGGCGAAGGCGGCUUGCCAGAACGCGCUCGACGGUGAGGGAUGAAAGCUGGGGGAGCAAACCGGAUUAGAUACCCGGGUAGUCCCAGCUGUAAACGAUGCAGACUCGGUGAUGAACAGGCUUCGUGCCUGUUCAGUGCCGCAGGGAAGCCGUUAAGUCUGCCGCCUGGGGAGUACGGUCGCAAGACUGAAACUUAAGGAAUUGGCGGGGGAG